rnacentral:rRNA from 1 species
UACGUAGGGGGCAAGCGUUGUCCGGAAUCAUUGGGCGUAAAGAGCGCGUAGGCGGUCCGGUAAGUCAGCUGUGAAAGUCAAGGGCUCAACCCUUGAAAGCCGGUUGAUACUGUCGGGCUAGAGUCCGGAAGAGGCGAGUGGAAUUCCCGGUGUAGCGGUGAAAUGCGCAGAUAUCGGGAGGAACACCGGUGGCGAAGGCGGGUCUCUGGGCAACAACUGACGCUGAGGAGCGAAAGCGUGGGGAGCGAACAGG